CAAAGUAUAGCUAAAUAGAAUAGCAUUUCAUUUACGUUGAGGGAUAAUAUCGUGCAAAUCGGUUUGCUUUGA
rnacentral:tRNA from 1 species